UACAGCGAGAAAGAGAGAAGCGAUGCUAAAGCUUUAGGCUUUAGUUACGCUUUAGUUACGAGUUUAGGUUCGUUCGUAUGUACUAUGUUGCCUUACGUAACACAUUUGUGACAGGCAAAAGGCGCAGGCUACAAUUGUUGAGAUUUAAAUACCAGAUGAUAGAGCAAAGAAUUGAUAUGCUUAGUUUGCACAUACCUCGUUCCAUGCCGCGCGCUGGAAACUCAAAGUUCUGAAAUAGCGGAACGCCCAGGAAAGGUAAGGUUAAUGGUGGCUGCUUAGCUUCGGUGGAACGCGUAGCAUCAGUAAGCCAAGAAAAGUUAUUAUGCCCAAUGCCAAGGGUAGGGAUCAUGCUUUGAUAUCUCUUGUGCUGCAUCAUCAUGGUAUGCAACGAAGUUAUAAUUUCGAUACGUGCCGUCCUUCAUAGUUGCUUUUGAAAACAUCUAAGAUAUCUACCCAGGUGUGUGCCCGAAACUAGGAUCAUGACAUGUAUACAGGAUCAUUCGAGGUGCCCGGAGAGAAGAGAGGAAGAGGUUGCUGAUCCUGUGGCAGCGGUCCAGACAGCAGCGGCACUAUAAUAGUAGAGGCGGAACCUGGAAAGAACAGCAAAGUACACGUCGGGUUAAGUGAGAUUGCACUGGACACACAAUCCCGAGCAUACUAAGCCAAAGAAAAAACCUAGAAUUGGUUCGAAAGAGUGUGGAGACCAUGAAGAAGACCAUGAAGACCAUGAAGAAUUUGUACAUGAAGAACUUGUACAACAGCUGGCCAAACGCUACAACUUUCACUGGCAGUCGGAAGUCUUCCAGGGCCAAGCAAUACUUGACCAUCCUAAAGACCGGUCAUUGUGGGAGCAUAAGAUGGCCAAGAUAGAGCAGGCAACAUAAAGAAGCUGCUAGAUGCAUACCAAGACUAUACAACUGAAAGCUGUGAUGACGAUAACGACUUGAUGAUCAUUGCAAGGGAAGGUCUUGUGACAUUUUUGUCAAUUGACGAAAGUAAGAAGAAGCAGGUAAAGAAGGCGAGACUUGUGAGCGAAGAAAAUUGUGCAUCCCCCACACAGAUUUCAGGCUCAGGCUCAGAAAAUGAAUAUGAUCCAAAUCCAUUUUCUGGUGAUGAAGCUGAAGAAAGAAAAGAAGAUGAAGAAAGGAAAGUUGAAGAAGAGUGUAGGAGGAAUGAUGAGAAGCGUAGGAAAGAACGUAGGAGAGUAGGAGAGAAGAAGAGAGAGCGUAAGAAAGAAGAGGAGCGUAGGAGAGAGAAAGAAAGAAAGUAGGAGAGAAGAGGAGUGUAGGAGAGAGAGAAGAGAUUCUAAAGCGAGAGAGCGAGAGAGACAGAAUGACGCACUAAAGCAGGCAAAAUCUGAGUUGAUGGAUCACAGUUCUCAAUCGCAGAAUUGUUCUGGACUGUCUCAGGCACAAACUGUUUCUGAAGUUGGAGGAAGGGUUGGCAACGACUAUCCGCAUAUUAAGACGGCUAGAAAAGGGUGGGGGAACUGGGAGGACCAUUGACACCACCCCGAGCGAUCAGGUGGAGGAGGAUCCUAAGUACACGUACAAUGGAAUCAACCUGCUGACUCUGUUUGGGAAGGACUAUUUAGCGUAUGGACAACUCCUUUUAAGCCAUCUCUUCACUAAGGAGGAGGAGGAGCAAAAAACGUCCUUAUUCCACAAGACUCAUGGAAACAAGUCUAUAAAACCCACCCUAGACCCAGAGAGGGUGUAGCUUCUAUAUGAUUGUAUGGACUUCAAAUACAGAGGUUAUGACAGAGUGAAACUCAUAGCAAGUCUAAAUCAAAAAUGCCGAGAUACUAAGACAAUAAUUAUACAGUGAAACUGGCUACAUGUACUACUUAUUUAUAUAAUUUCAGUUUUGUUUCUGUGACAUGAUUUAUUUACAAUUUGAUCCCUUAUGAUCUUGAACAGUCUUUAUUCAAAGAUCACGUUAGAUCUUUGAUGAUCUAGUUCCAAAA